rnacentral:misc_RNA from 1 species
UACGGAGGGUGCAAGCAUUGAUCGGAAUUACUGGGCGUAAAGGGCGCGUAGGCGGUUAAAUAAGUCAGAUGUGAAAUUCCGGGGCUCAACCCCGGAGCAGCAUUUGAAACUAUUUGGCUAGAGGUAGCUUAGGGAAAACGGAAUUCCACGUGUAGCGGUGAAAUGCGUAGAUAUGUGGAAGAACACCGGUGGUGAAGACGGUUUUCUGGAGCUAAGCUGACGCUGAGGCGCGAAAGCUAGGGGAGCAAACAGG